rnacentral:lncRNA from 1 species
UGGUUCAUGGAGUCGAGUCCAACUUUUAAGGAUCGAUGGUUUUGGUCUCUCAUAACAAACCUCCAUCUCAUGGCCAAUCAUAGAAACAAACUUCCUCUGAAGAACGGGAAAACUCCCUCCUACUGGCUCUUUCUCACAUAUCGCCGAGAUUUAAUGCUCAUUUGUUGAUAAUUAGGUAAACCAGUUCGGACUUAAGACGCAAAGAAGACCUCUGGAACGUACCAAAAAUUAGAAAAGACGACCUCUGGAAUAGGCUCUUUCUCGCAAACCAUCGGGAUAUAAUGCACACUUGUCAAUAUCUGGACGAACCAGGUUGAAC